rnacentral:rRNA from 1 species
GACGAACGCUGGCGGCGUGCUUAACACAUGCAAGUCGAACGGAAAGGCCCUGCUUUUGUGGGGUGCUCGAGUGGCGAACGGGUGAGUAACACGUGAGUAACCUGCCCUUGACUUUGGGAUAACUUCAGGAAACUGGGGCUAAUACCGGAUAGGAGCUCCUGCUGCAUGGUGGGGGUUGGAAAGUUUCGGCGGUUGGGGAUGGACUCGCGGCUUAUCAGCUUGUUGGUGGGGUAGUGGCUUACCAAGGCUUUGACGGGUAGCCGGCCUGAGAGGGUGACCGGCCACAUUGGGACUGAGAUACGGCACAGACUCCUACGGGAGGCAGCAGUGGGGAAUAGUGCACAAUGGGCGGAAGCCUGAUGCAGUAACGCCGCGUGGGGGAUGACGGCCUUCGGGUUGUAAUGCGCUUUCGCCUGUGACGAAGCGUGAGUGACAGUAAUGGGUAAAGAAGCACCGGCUAACUACGU